rnacentral:rRNA from 1 species
CCUACGGGUGGCAGCAGUGAGGAAUAUUGGUCAAUGGGCGGGAGCCUGAACCAGCCAAGUCGCGUGAAGGAAGAAGGUACUUAGUAUUGUAAACUUCUUUUGUCGAGGAACAAACGCGGAGACGCGUCUUCGGCUGAGUGUACUCGACGAAAAAGCAUCGGCUAACUCCGUGCCAGCAGCCGCGGUAAUACGGAGGAUGCGAGCGUUAUCCGGAUUUAUUGGGUUUAAAGGGUGCGAAGGCGGGUGAUCAAGUCAGCGGUAAAAUGUCGGGGCUCAACCCGGGCCGGCCGUUUAAACUGGUUUUCUAGAGUUGGAGAGAGGUAUGCGGAAUGCGUGGUGUAGCGGUGAAAUGCAUAGAGAUCACGAAGAACUCCGAUUGCGAAGGCAGCAUACCGACUCCAUACUGACGCUGAGGCACGAAAGCGUGGGGAGCGAACAGGAUUAGAUACCCUUGUAGUC